GCAAGUGUCAGUAGAAAGGAAAGAUGCUUUAGUCAGAAAGGCCAGCAGUCUGGGGAGAAGGUGGACUUAUGUCUGGAGAUCAUCUCUGCAGAUUCUGUCCAGUUAUUACCAUUUUUAAAGGGAAGGUGGCGGAAGAGAAUCUCAGCGAAUCAUCCAGGUAGAAGACUGGGUUUCCAUUCUGCGGUCGACAAAUGCUCCAGUGUGCAAGCUUUUCUUCAGUUCCCGCACCUGCAGAGACGUGGCCCAAGUGACCUAGUAUUUCAGAGGGAGAAGGAGAAUGUGGCAGAGAGAGAAAACUGCUCUUCAAAAGGAAGCCGUCGUUAAGCUAAGAUGCACAAAGAGCAAUUGUGAAUUUGUGUUUAGGGACCUAGAAUUCUCACCACUACCCUGAUGGAAUAUAAAGGUGAGAGGUAUUUUACUGAUGUGCUUUUCCUUUAAAAUAAAUUGCAGUGUCUAAUGCUAAUGUAAAAACAUGAUACACAUUUUCAACUCCAUUUAGAUUUUUUGUUACUGACAAAAAUAGAAAACUCACUGAUGCCCUAAAAUAUCUCCCUGUGGUUCAGGCAAUAUCUUCUAGGAUAAGUUUUUCAUUAUGAAUUUCAAACUCUUGAAAGCAUUAAAGACAAAGGCCCCUCUAUUCCAAUGGGAAUGUAGAAAAUAUGAAUAAAUCAUAACACUCUGAUGUUAA
ensembl:lncRNA